CACAAUCACUUUCCCGUCAUAAAAGAUUGUCAUUUGUGCACAUUUAGUUUCUUCCUUUUUAAUACCCUUCAUUACACUGUAAGGGUGUGUGAUGUUCAGUGAAAAAAAGGAAUAAAAAAUGACAAAUGAUUCCUAAGUAAGGAAUAAUGUAAUAGUUGAGUACUGCUCAAUGAUUCUUAAAGGAAUAAAAACUGACAAAUGAUUCCUAAGGAAUAAUGUAAAAGGAAUAAAUACUAAAUCUUAUGAUCUUAUCCAAUUUCAAAAGCAAAGUAUUAUGGAGAAGAACACAAUUGGAAAUGUUGAAGCUGAGGUAAUUGAAAACUCUCAUUUUUGGGAUGAGUAGUGGUGUUAGUGUGAUUCUGCUUAUAGAUUCCAAACAAAAAGUAAUCUAGUCGUAAAUGACCAUCUUUUAGCUAAUUGAUUAGAGUCAAAUAAUUAACCAACAUCAAAUAAUUUUCAAGUAACUAAAUAAUGGCACCUUUUUUAGGAUAUUACAAUGAGUUUGAUGAUGGAGUUCCACUUCAUUUUGGUAAGCUUAUAAAUCUAACUCAUCUUAAUCAUGCAAAUUGUAGUUUGAAAGGCCUAAUUCCACCUGAGUUAGAGUGGAGUUAGAGUGGUGCCAUAUGCCUGCACAUUCCAAAUAGAAGCAUAUUUAGUUUAUUUUCAAUAAAACUUCAACAAUAUUCAUAGGGAAGGUGUUAACUUUUUCCAUGAACUGCACAAUAUCUAAUAUGUCCAAGUUUAACGAAACUAAAAUAAAUAUGUUUCCUGAUCUCAUUUUGCAUAUGCAAGUAAAAUUAAGAUAGAAUCUGACCUUCAACCUAAAUCAAUCUGACCAUUGAGUAAUCUGGUUUGGGUUCAUUUGUUUUUGAUUCCAUAUCCAUUCAUUCCUAUUAUGCCACAAUCAUCAUAAAUCAAUUCACCACAGCCUCGACUUCUCACGAACAAAUAUCUAGCACCACUUCUGCUACUGAAUUCAUUCUUUGAACUCUGUCCCAAAUUUGAGGCCAUAAUCCUGCUGUUUGCCAGCUCUGAAUACUCAUAUCACACUAAAAAAGAAAAUGCCAAUCACUCUCCACCGAAUCAUUACAAAUUACACAGUUUAUAGGACAAGCAUUGAAGGAUUAAAAAGCGAAUUCUGGGCCAAACAUAAAUAAGUCACAAUGUGCAUUAGCGUCAGCUACCCUGGGCCUGUGGAUGUGAAAAUCAAUACCAAAAAAGUAGACAUCUAAAACUAAUAAUAGACUAAAAUAUAGCUCACAACAACUUUCUUGUCAAUAUAACUUGUGAGUUGGUUCAAAAGGGUUCUUAAGAGUUGUAAUCAAUGGCAGCAUCAUCAAAUCAAAUAUGAACACAUGCAAGAAGAGUAAAACAAAUUUCAUUUCACCAUACACAUUUUGAAAUUUCAAUAAUUAAAUCUCCAUUCGAAAUUUACAGGAGCAUAAUGUGCUAAUUUUAAACUCUUAAAACAACUUCAUUAACAGCAAACUUUAAUUUUAAUAUAUACAAAACCAAAAACGGAAGCUCGCAUUUACAAUCUAUAUAAAUAUAAAUAUCUACAUAAAAAGAAUAAUUACAUAGGCAUUGAACAUCAUUGCUACCAAGAUAAAGAAGUACAUUCAAGAAGCUAAAACAAAUGUCAAUCUACUUAAGAUCAAGUUUCUGAAUAAUUAUUAUGCUUUGUGCUUCAUAUUCACCUUAAAACACAUUUUUUUUAACUCCAUAUGGAUAUUAUCAGUUUAAAAUUACUAACAUCAUGGCAAACAGGCUGAUUAGAGAAACAAAAUAGUAGAGGAAACAUUAACAAUGGAAGAGCUUCAGCAGCAAGUAAAGAAUAACAACAAUUAAGACUAAUCCAAGGAGCAUUCUUGUUUUUCGAUCCUGUUUCAAUUAUAACUACAAUUGUCACCUGCAAGCUUCAUAGUUGAAGCUUCUUUUGCAACCUAUGUUAUUUAGCAAUAUAAGGUUAGAAAUAAUCACAGCGAAGUAAGACACGUCUUAGCUUUGAGGUUUACCCCACACUUCAACUAAUGAUUAUGACAAAUAUUAAAUCAUAUUUCACCUUCUUACCACAAUAUAAAUA
rnacentral:lncRNA from 1 species